rnacentral:rRNA from 1 species
UCCCCUAGUAACGGCGAGCGAACGGGGAAGAGCCCAUCGCCCAAUCCGCCGCCCGAACGGGCGGUCCGGAAAUUUGGCGUGUGGGAGAGACGCUUCCGAGCGCCGCCUCCGGUGCAAGUCCCCCUGACCGGGGCUCCCACCCCGAGAGGGUGCAAGGCCCGUAGCGGCCGGAGGUCUGUCGGCGCCGGAUGUCCUCUCCCGGGAGUCGGGUUGCUUGAGAGUGCAGCCCCAAUCGGGUGGUAAACUCCAUCUAAGGCUAAAUACGACCUGGAGACCGAUAGCGAACAAGUACCGUGAGGGAAAGUUGAAAAGGACUUUGAAGAGAGAGUUCAAGAGUACGUGAAACCGUUCGGAGGUAAACGAGUGGGCCCUCGAAGUGUUGAAGGCGGGGGGACUCAGCCGAACGCCGUCGAGCCCGCCGGCCGCUCUCCGCGCUUCCCUCCCGGGACGCGGGCGGCCGGUGCGCCGGCUCCGGCUGGCGGCGCAUUUCCUCCCGUCCUCAGACGCCGCGACCGGUCGGGCGCGCCACGAGCAGUCGGCCUUACUCGCGGGAAACGGAAGGUGGCCGGGGCGGCGCACACGCGCCGCCUCCCGGUGUUCUGUCCGUCCCGCAAUCGAGCAAGCCGUUCGCCCGACCGCAGGACCGGCGGCCCUCAGGGGCCCCGCCGCGCCCUUCCUCCUCCGGGAGGAAUCGACUCUCCGCCCCGGAAGGGAUGCCGUCCGUUCUUCUCCUCGCCGCACCCCCCAGGUGCGCGAGGGACGGCGGCGCCCGCUGGCCGGGGCGGUCUCGACGGGCUGCAGGCGGUCCGCGGCGAGUAGGUCGGUCACCCACUCGACCCGUCUUGAAACACGGACCAAGGAGUUUAACAUGCGCGCGAGUCACUGGGUCGUGAGCAGGCCCAAGGGCGCAAUGAAAGUGAAGGGCGGUUUCGCACCGUCCGCGUUGGGAUCCGCCGGCCUCCGCGCCGGCGGCGCACCAACGGCUCGUCCGGGCCGCCGCGUCGGCCGGGCGAAGCUAGAGCGCGCAUGUUGAGACCCGAAAGAUGGUGAACUAUGGCUGGGCAGGACGAAGCCAGAGGAAACUCUGGUGGAGGUCCGCAGCGGUUCUGACGUGCAAAUCGAUCGUCAGACC